rnacentral:rRNA from 1 species
UACGGAGGGUGCAAGCGUUGUCCGGAAUUAUUGGGCGUAAAGCGCACGUAGGCGGUUCUUUAAGUCUCAUGGUGAAAGGCUGGGGCUCAACCCCAAGCAAGCCGGGGAUACUGGAGGACUGGAGACAGGCAGAGGCCAGCGGAAUUCCGGGUGUAGCGGUGGAAUGCGUAGAGAUCCGGAAGAACACCGGAGGCGAAGGCGGCUGGCUGGGCCUGAUCCGACGCUGAGGUGCGAAAGCGUGGGGAGCGAACAGG